GAUGCAAUGAUGAGACAAAAGCACGAAGAGUGUAAGUAGAGUAGUGGACAAGAGAAGAAUUCUUUAAUGGGGUUUGUAUCUUGCCGUGAGCUUAUCUAAUAAACGACUUCUCCUUCCACUGAGCAUA
rfam:Arabis alpina cultivar Pajares scaff_61551_1_contig_9, whole genome shotgun sequence.